GCCUUCCUCACCAUAGCUUAGUGGUAAAGAAUCUGUUUUGGAUAAAGAAGGUUCUAGGUUCAAUCUGCAGCAUCCCCAGGUAGGGCU